rnacentral:rRNA from 1 species
AACGAACGCUGGCGGCAUGCCUAACACAUGCAAGUCGAACGAGCCCUUCGGGUCUUGUGUCGCACGGGUUCGUAACGCGUGGGAACCUUACCUUAGGUAUGGAAUAACUCAGAGAAUUGUGAGCUAACACCGGACGAGGUCUACUGACCAAUGAUUUAUCGCCCUAGGAGGGGCCGGAGUGGGAUUAGCUAGUUGGGGGGGUAAGGGCCUCCCAAGGCGACGAUUAAUAGCUGGGUAGAGAGGAUGAUCAGCCACACUGGGACUGAGACACGGCCCAGACUCCUACGGGAGGGAGCAGUGGGGAAUAUUGGAAAAUGGGGGGAGGCAUGAUCGAGCUAUGCCGCGAGAGUUAUGAAGUCAUUAGGGUAGUAAAGCGUUUUUAACCGAGAAGAUAAUGACAGUAUCGGGAGAGUAAGCCACGGCUAACUCCGUG